rnacentral:tRNA from 1 species
UGCGGUGUUGCGGGAUCGGCGGCUGGGGCGGUUCUGGCAGGACCGGGAGCCGGCCGAGGUGUACGAGCCGUUCAAUCUGUUGCACCGCAA